rnacentral:lncRNA from 1 species
CAGGAGGAGAGCCGUGCGGGCAGGGCGGUUUUAACGCCGCGGGGGCCUCACGAGGCUCGGCACCGCCCUCGGAAGGGGCACCCGAGGGACGGCGGCCUGGCCGAGGAGACGGCGCCCCCUUCCCCUGAGGCGAGGAGGAGGAGGAGGAGGAGGAGGAGGAGGAGGAGGAGACCGAGACCGUCUGCCGUGACGCCGCGCCGAGCCGCGCAGGCGCAGCGCCCGUUGUAUCCGGCCGCCGCCUUUUCUCUCUUCCUCCUCGUCCCUCCCUCCCUCUCCCUCCAUCCCCUCCCACAGCCGCCGCGGUCGGUGCCGCCGCCGCCGCCGCCUGUGCGCGCCCUGCCCGCCCGCUCCCCCCCCAUCCACCCUCGGCUCUCCCCGCGGCUGCCCCAUGAGGCGAUGGCAGCGGCCAACUUCGGCAAGAUCCAGAUAGGAAUCUACGUGGAGAUCAAGCGCAGCGAUGUUGUGAAAAAUAUGCCUUAUCACACAGAAGAGCUAGAGAGUGAGCCAGAAUGUAGCUGCGAGACCAGCUGUGAGUGUGGUUCCUCCCGUCCAGAAGAUGCACCUUUCUCAGCCGGGCCAAGCCUUAAGACUGUAGCAGAAAAUUUUAUCACCAUACGCUUGAUGAGUCUGCCAGUUCCCGCAGCACCGAAGAGUUUUUGUGUCUUUGCAGUCCCAGCAUGCUGUUUGUAGCAAUGGAUGAAGUGGCACCGCUACAGGAAAAAAAGUGGGCUGUAUUCCUAGUUUGCUAACAAAUCAGAGAACUAAUUAAAACAGUUCCACAAUGGAGGGUUCUUGCACAAAAUUAAGUCACUGUAGGUUAUUAGCAGUGGAAAAAGUAAUGGAGAGGUGUACUGAGCACCACAUACAAAGAAAACUUGCACAAAAAUGUUCAUCCAAAGAAGUGAAGUGUGGGAAUGCCCUGCUGAGUUAGCCAGCUUCACAGUCACCAGCAGAAUUAGGGCAUAGUCCUGAGGGCAGGACAUUCUUGUGCAACAUUAUUUGGGUGCUGAGGAAAGGAGUAAGGUCUGCACAUGGUGAGGAGGGUAUGGCUGUGGUUUCUGCCCCUGCAUCUCCUGGAUUUUUCCAAAUCCAGGCUGAUGCCCAUGGAGGAAGAUGAAAACCAUGCUCUUCAUGCACAUUGGGUGUUGCGUGGAGUAAGCGCAGUGUUAACAGUGACAGUGUUCAUGUCACCUUUUUCUUGCCCUCUGUGAGCAGCUCAGCAUCAACACUGACACUGUAGGUACCAGAAGUGAGGAUGCAGACCUUGCCUUCAGUGAGGGCACUGGGAAAUGCAAGAGAGUGCUGCUGAAGAAGCACUAAUGGCAGGAUAUGUUCAGGAAAAAAUAAUGGCUCAGAGAAAUAAAAACUAGCAAAUGCUAGAGGAAAGGAACUAA